UGCCCAAGUGGUACCUGAGGUGAGUGGUGUAGCACCGCGCGCGUCACAUGGCAUGCUCACAGCUUGGCUGAAGGUUGAGGACAAGAGUUACUAACCACUUGCCUCCCUUGGCCUUGACUAUUCAAUGAUGUCUUACAUAUACUCGCCCCAAGGCAGGUGGUACUUCGUCUACCUCCCGCGAGAACUCAGCACAAGCCACCCUUACACUGGAUUAAGGAAGAAGAUUGAAUAGAAAGCUGGUGGAAUAUAUACUCCACGUACACCAACAUGGAUUUUAGACUCGAGGAGCUUGAAAAAGCUACAGAAAAUUUUGCGGAGAAGCAAAGAGUUGGCAGUGGUGGGUAUGGAGAUGUUUACAAGGGAGUGCAUAAUGGCAAAGAGAUUGCAGUGAAGAAGCUUCGUCCCUUGCUAGGACUUGAUGAUAAGGAUUAUAAGAACGAAUUCCGUAACCUUAGCAAGGUCCAUCAUGAAAAUAUAGUACAGUUAAUUGGCUACUGCUACCAAUCAAGGAAUAAUUUUAUUGAGUACAACGGAGAACUAAACAUGGCUACAAAUAAAGGAGCGAAUUCUCUGCUUUGACUAUAUGCAGGGUGGAAGCCUUGAAAACCAUAUUAAAGAUGACAUGUGUGACCUUGAAUGGCCCAUAUGUUACAAAAUUAUAAAUGGGACUUGUCUGGGUUUAAAUCACCUUCAUAGUGCAUAUGAUAAACCUAUUUACCAUAUGGACUUAAAACCUGCAAACAUAUUACUAGAUGAGAACAUGAUGGCUAAAAUUGCAGAUCUUGGUUUAUCAAGACUUGUUAAUUCAACAAAAACUCACAAAACAAUGGUAGCCAGCUUCAGAGGAACAUUGUAAGUUAAUUGAAUGAUCAUGUUGUAAGAAAAUUAUUUGUUCUCAUGCUUUUACAAUACGGUUUCAUCUGUGUUUCAGUCACAAAAAUCAUACCUUUAAUGCCUAUGUUGCAGUGGGUACAUGCCGCCUGAAUACAUAGAUGAAUACACUAUAUCGAAGAAGUUUGAUGUAUACAGUUUGGGAGCUAUCAUUAUAAGAAUAAUGGAUGGAGAAAAUGGACACUCUUCAUUUUUCUGACAUGGGUGCCGGAAAGUUCAUUGAAAAUGUUAUUGGAAACUGGGAUAGAAGGCUACUAGGAACUUCGACGUCAAGUUAUUGAUCCAACAAAGAAGACAUCAGGCGAGUGAUGAAGUGUGUUGAAAUAGCGUUAAGAUGUGUAGAAAAAGACAGAAAUAGAAGACCCUCUAUAAAGGAUAUUGUGCAGGAACUGGAAGAACUAGAAGCGGAUAUUAAGAAAAUGUCACUACAUUCUGAAAAUUCAGAAGACCUAAUUGGCCAGACAAGCUCUGCUUGCAGUACAAUUCUGUCGUUCGAUCCAUCCCAAGAGUUGCGCUUCCUAUUCGAGCCAAGAAUGAACGCAUCAACCUGCCUGCAGCUAACCAACAUGACAGAAGGCUUCAUUGCAUUUAGUGUAAAGGUCAACAAACGGAAGUAUUGUGCACAGCCAAACAUCGGAGUUAUGCAGCCAUGUUCUAAGCGUUAUAUCUCUGUGACACUUGAAGCACAGGAGGAGGCACCGCCGAAUAUGCAAUGCCAUGACAUGUUCAUUGUUCAGAGUGCUCGUGUCAGUGAGGACCUUACGUCCGGUGAGAUCACUAAUGACUUGUUGGGAAAAGGAAAGGUGGAUAUGAUGGAACUACCAAUUGUUUAUGUUGCAAAGGACGAGUUUCCAAGCUUCAAUACCUAAGGAGGAACUUGUCUUUCUGUAAAAGGAAUAUUAUAUAAUAUAAUGUACACAUUGGCUCUGUACUCGAUCUACACUUGUCAGUCUGAAGGACUAGGAUUAGUUUGAAGGAUCCAGUCUACGGAUUGGCGACCUAUAGGAUUAUCUUUUCUUUUGUUGAUUUAUCUUUACAUACUUGUGUGUUCCCCGUGUGCAUUUUCAAAUGUAGAGACGGGGGGUGAACUCUGGCCUAUAUCGUUUCAGUUUGAAAGUAUGCCUUUGUUGGGUAUGGUCUUUUUUGUUUUUUCAGCUUGUGUACUCUUUUGUCUGGCGAGGCAAACAAGUUAUGUUUUACUAGUAUCUUUCUCAUUUCUAA